rnacentral:siRNA from 1 species
UGAAACGCGAUAUCAACUUCUCA